rnacentral:rRNA from 1 species
GAUGAACGCUGGCGGCGUGCUUAACACAUGCAAGUCGAACGAAGCACUUUUACAGAUUUCUUCGGAAUGAAGUUUUAGUGACUGAGUGGCGGACGGGUGAGUAACGCGUGGGUAACCUGCCUCACACAGGGGGAUAACAGUUGGAAACGGCUGCUAAUACAGCGUAAGCGCACAGUACCGCGUGGUACAGUGUGAAAAACUCCGGUGGUGUGAGAUGGACCCGCGUCUGAUUAGCUAGUUGGCAGGGCAACGGCCUACCAAGGCGACGAUCAGUAGCCGACCUGAGAGGGUGACCGGCCACAUUGGGACUGAGACACGGCCCAAACUCCUACGGGAGGCAGCAGUGGGGAAUAUUGCACAAUGGGGGAAACCCUGAUGCAGCGACGCCGCGUGAGCGAAGAAGUAUUUCGGUAUGUAAAGCUCUAUCAGCAGGGAAGAAGAAAUGACGGUACCUGACUAAGAAGCACCGGCUAAAUACGUGCCAGCCGCCGCCGUAA